rnacentral:rRNA from 1 species
UUUGAUUCUGGCUCAGUUGAACGCUGGCGGGAUGCUUCCCACCGCAUGCAAGUCGAACGGCAGCACGGACUUCGGUCUGGUGGCGAGUGGCGAACGGGUGAGUAAUGUAUCGGAACGUGCCUAGUAGCGGGGGAUAACUACGCGAAAAGCGUAGCCCAUGCACCACCAUCGCCCGUCGGGGAAAGCGGGGGACCUUCGGGCCUCGCACUAUUAGAGCGGCCGGUAUCCGGAUUGGCUGGAUUGGUGGGGUAACGGCUCACCAAGGCGACGAUCCGUAGCUGGUUUGAGAGGACGACCAGCCACACUGGGACUGAGACGUGAGAACUCCACAGGAGGCAGCAGUGGGAAUUUUGGACAAUGAGGAAACCUGAGUCAAGCCAUCCCCGCGUGUGCGAUGAAGGCCUUCGGGUUGUAAAGCACACUUUUGGCAGGAAAGAAACGGCACGGGAUAAUACCCCGUGCAACUGACAAUACCUACAGAAUAAGCACCGGCUAACUACGUGCCAGCAGCCGCGGUAAUACGUAGAGAUUGCAAGCGUUAAUCGGAAUUACUGGGCGUAAAGCGUGCGCAGGCGGUUCGGAAGAAAAGAUGUGAAAUCCCAGAGCUUAACUUUGGAACUGCGUGCUUUUUAACUACCGAGCUAGAGUGUGUCAGAGGGAGGUGGAAUUCACGAUGCUCCAACAGGUGAAAAUGCGUGAAUAUGCGGAGGAACACCGAUGGCGAGGCAGCCCUCCCUGGGAUAACACUGACGCUCAUGCACGAAAGCGUGGGGAGCAAACAGGAUUAGAUACCCUGGUAGUCCACGCGCCCUAAACGAUGUCAACUGGCUGUUGGGGCCUUCGGGCCUUGGUAGCGCAGCUAACGCGUGAAGUUGACCGCCGGAGUACGGUCGCAAGAUUAAAACUCAAAGGAAUUGACGGGGGACCCGCACAAGCGGUGGAUGAUGUGGAUUAAUUCGAUGCAACGCGAAAAACCUUACCUACCCUUGACAUGUCUGGAAUCCGAAGAGAGAUUUGGGAGUGCUCGCAAGAGAACCGGAACACAGGUGCUGCAUGGCUGUCGUCAGCUCGUGUCGUGAGAUGUUGGUUCAGUCGCAACGAGCACAACCCGCCAUCAUUAGUUGCUGCGGGCGCUCUGUCAGACACCGCGGUAAGACAAACGGGAGGAAGAGAUGAGGAUGACGUCAAGUCCUCAUGGCCCUUAUGGGUAGGGCUUCGCACCGUCACAUCUGAUAGUCAGGACGAGGUCGCCAACCGCGGGGAGCCAAUCCCAGAAACCCGAUCGUAGUCGGAUCGCAGUCUGCAACUCGACUGCGUGAGUCGGAAUCGCUGAUAGCGGAUCAGCAUGUCGCGGUGAAUACGUUCCCAGGGAUCUUCGCCACCGCCAUCCGCACCAUGGGAGUGGGUUUACCAGAAGUAGUUAGCCCCUAGCCAUGGGGGCGAUUACCACGGUAGGAUUCAUGACUGGGGUGAAGUCAUAC